UGAGGAAUAUUGGUCAAUGGGCGAGAGCCUGAACCAGCCAAGUAGCGUGCAGGAUGACGGCCCUAUGGGUUGUAAACUGCUUUUAUGUGGGGAUAAAGUGCGUGACGUGUCAUGCAUUGCAGGUACCACAUGAAUAAGGACUGGCUAAUUCCGUGCCAGCAGCCGCGGUAAUACGGAAGGUCCGGGCGUUAUCCGGAUUUAUUGGGUUUAAAGGGAGCGUAGGCUGUCUAUUAAGCGUGUUGUGAAAUUUACCGGCUCAACCGGUGGCUUGCAGCGCGAACUGGUCGACUUGAGUAUGCAGGAAGUAGGCGGAAUUCAUGGUGUAGCGGUGAAAUGCUUAGAUAUCAUGACGAACUCCGAUUGCGCAGGCAGCUUACUGUAGCAUAACUGACGCUGAUGCUCGAAAGUGCGGGUAUCAAACAGG
rnacentral:rRNA from 1 species